AUUCAGUCAGGUGGGAAAUUCAAAAUUCUUCAUGUGAGAACUCACAUUUUCACCAUGGCUCCUACGCUCCACAACUACCUGUUUAUUCAGCAAAUAGUCCUCCCUAAAGGGGAAAGUGGAGUUUGAAGACGAGGGACUGCAGAACUGUUCUAUUGUCAUCAGAGGAGUGUCAAGAGGAGAUGAGUCCUGCUACAAGUGUCUGUUUAACACCUUUCCAGAUGGACCAAUCAGUGGAAGGACCUGCCUCCAUGUAAAUGAGCUGUAUGGACCCUCACUCCUCAUCACACAAACCAACAACAGUCACACCACUCUGUCCUGUUCUGCUACUGGACAACCUACUCCUAUAGUAACCUGGGACAACACAGAAAUUCUAGAAAAUUCCACAAUGGUCAAUGUCACCCAUCUCAAUGGUACUGUCACAGUCAUCAUAACUUUCACGCUGGCAGCAUUCAGUCUACCUGACAAAGACACCAGGGUUCUCUGUGUGGUGUCACUGUUCUCUGGAGGUGUCACCAAGAACGUAUCCAUGGUUAUUCCAGCUAGAACUCAAGCUUCAUUUCCUGGUGUACCUGAGGUCACUGAUGGUGACAGGAUCAGUGUUAAGCCAACAGUAAUUGUUUCAGUGAUGGGUUCACUGUGUUUCAUUGCUGUGUGCUGUGGAGCUGUGGUACUGUGGUGCAAACUGAGAAAUACAAUGAGAAGAAACUGCUGAGCAUGGUGUUGGUUGAACCGGAGUGGUACUACAAGUCUGAGGCAGAGUUACUGCACAAUGUCUUCUCUGGAGCUCAGCUUACCUACUUAUCUGUAUGUAAAUAUACAUCUGUCUGUCUGUCUGUCAGGCUCUCUGUCUCUGUCUCUCUGUCUGUACUUUUAGUUUCAAGUUAAGCUUCUACAAGUUGAGCAUAGGCUUUGACAUCAAGCUGGUUUUAUAGAAAAUAGACAAACUCAAGAUAACAUCUGAAGAACCCUCCAUAUCAUGACAAUGUAGCCAAUGAAAAUACAGUGACAUUGAAGCGCCUCCACAUGGAAGAAAAAUUUGACUCUGAAACUGGAACUUCCCCUAUAGAAAGAAUUUGACUUCAACAACAAAUCAAGGAGGAUGAUUCAAACACUUUAUUCAUAGAAAAUACAAGGUUGUUAUCCUAUUCACUUUAUCAAGUUACUUUGUGUUUUUUUGCUGUUUACACAUUAGGGAAAAUAACAGAUAGGUAUCAUAUAUGCAAAUAACUGUCAAAAAAUCUGAAUUGGGCUGCCUGUGUAAAUGCCGCCUUAUUGCAGCUUAUUACCUAUCUGUUAUUUUCCCUAAUGUGUAAACAGCAAAAAAACACAUUGAAUCUGAUUUUUUGAAUCCUGAUACAAACCCCAUCCUCCAUAUACGACCUCUGUCUGAAUGCUCAGAUUUUUUUGUUGUUGGCACGUGACGUUACCAUGACCACCACCCCAAAAUGUAAAGGAGCAGUGACAGGAAAUGAGAAUUGCAUUUCUGUGUGACUUCUGAGUGUGAAUGCCGAAAUCUGAUAUGGGUCUGAAAAAAAGAUUGGAUAUAGAAAGGAAAUCAGAUUUGGGGUCUUAGGCUGAAUGUGUAAACACAGUCAUAUAACUUCAGAGGAAGCACUCUGCUGCAUCUCAGCUGUGAUAUUUGUAACUUCUGACUGUUCUACAACACACCAUACCUCUAGUCAUCUGCUUAUCAGAACCUUGAAUAGUCCAAUCAGAUGUGGUAGAACUGUGCUGGAGAAAAAAGCCUGCACAACCAUUUUGGCCACCCCUGAUUUAUAUGUACAAAAGUUCCUAUGUCUGAUGAUUUUGCAGUAAAUUAUGUAUUUUUUGAUAACUCACUUUUGCUGACAGGUACAGUAUUUUAGUACUAGGGGUGUCUUCAGUAAACUUUAAAGUAACUUACAAAGUUUAUGUUGAAGAUUGUUGUAUUUUCCAGGAGCUUGCUCGAUUGUCUUGUUAAAAGAGAUCAGGGAAUAAUUUUCCAGUUUAUCCCAUAUUGGCUUAAAUGGGUUUCUGGUUUUUCGCUUCCCUCUGGAAAAUCAGCUCUUAGUAUUUCACAGUAAUAUUGAAUAAAUACUAAUAACUACCUUA
rnacentral:lncRNA from 1 species